UAUGGGUAGAGGCGCAGUAUUCAUCAGUAACCCGUGGGAUGACUUAGAUCAGAUGAACAUGGAUGAAAGGGUAUAUUGCCGAAGGGGAGUGGUUGUCUAAGGACCAUUUUCCUGGGUGUGCAGUUAAGAGCUGUAUGACUGUCAUCGUAAGAUGGAGUGCUACUUGAG
rnacentral:ncRNA from 1 species